UUUUCUCCGCCCUCGUCUGCUCCUCAGUUCCAGUCUGUGUUUGGUUGUCCCUGUUAUGUUCCCCUGUGUCUGAUUAAUCCUUGAUUGGUCUGCUUAUUUAAGCCCUUGGUUUUGUCUUCUAGUUUGUUGGAUAUUUUGCCAACCUCCCGGACCCGCCGCUGACUGGCGUAGCCCUGCCUCCGGACCUCCCGGACCCACCACUGACCGGCAAAGCCGCACCCCUGGACCUCCCUGCUGUGCUGCCGGUCGGUAUACCCGCAUCCGCGGGCCUCCCGGACCUGCUGUUGACCGAAGAAGCUGGUCCCCUGGUCUUUCCUGGCCCAUUGUUUGGGACAGCUGCAGGUCAGGACCUGCCAACCCUGCCACAUCCUAGGCCCAUCCCCGCACCUCAUACCAGGCCAGUCUCUAUGGUGACUCUUCGAGACUCUCCUGUGCCCUUAAUUGCUGCUACAGAUGUGCAUCCUAAGAUGUUUAGGACUUCUGCGGCCACACGUCGUAGCAAGCCAGUCCCCCUUAAGGCCUCUUUGUGGGCCUCCCAGACCCCUACUGUUCCUGUGUCCACACCAUAUGGUCUUCCUGUACCUCCUCUGCCCCUUGAGGCUGCUGCGGCAGCCCCCCCUUACUGCCCCAGAGUCUGCUCCUAAUGUGUCCUCAGUUCCUGUUUUGCCUGCUCCUGUUCCCGGUUUUGUCUGUGUUCCUGUCCAUACAUCCCUGCCUGUUUAUACUACCCUAGUGAAACCUGUUACCCUGCCUGGUGGCAUUAGUGUUCCCUUGCCCUUCCCAGUACCUGCAUCCAUGCCGAUUGUGAAUUUUGUUCCCGUUCCUGUGUCUGUUGUGCGGAAUAUACGUACCUCUGUCCUCGCUUCUGUUCCCGUCCCGGUUCCCACUCCCAGCGUCUCUCCUCUCCUUUCCUCUCUCAACUCCAUGCCCGCCUCCUCUUCCAGCCGCGUUGCCGGUCCGACUCCCUUUCCCUGUCCUACUUCCAUCCCUCAAUCUGCCCUGACUCCUGCACCUGUCCAGGGUUUGGCCUCGUAUCCUAUCUAUGCCCCUGGUCCUGCCACGAUCCCUGUCUGUAGUCCUGCCCCAACCCAGCUUCCACGUCUUUGUUUUGCUCCAUGUGUCCACCCAUCUGUCUCCUGUCCUGUCUCGUCGUCUCUGGCUCCUCCUAUUGGCCCUGUCUCUGCCUCGUGUAGCCCUUUUGUUCCCGCUCGAUGUCUUUCCUGAUCUCCUGCCUCUGUUUCUGGGUCUUGCCGCAUCUUACCUGUUCCGCUUGAAUGUGUCUCGUUGUACUGUCGUCGCCAUUGCUUUUCUGUUUGCUCCGUUCGUGUAUUAUUUUACCCUUGAUGUUACCCCCUUGCUUCUGUUCAUUUUGCCCUCUGUGUUCAUAUUUCCCUCAUUAAUAAAUGUUUCCUGCAUUUGCGAUCUGCCUCUCGCUUGUUCCUGCUGGAACCGCUACAUUAUGCUUUUUCACUCAUCUUUCUGAUUCUCCAAUUAUAAGUAGAAGUGACUUCAGUACAGUAUAUUUGGACAGAACAAAUAAUGCACAUAAUAAACAUUGUUGGCAAUCUGCAGAAACAAAACAA